rnacentral:rRNA from 1 species
ACCGGCGCACGGGUGCGUAACGCGUAUACAAUCUGCCUUUCACAUAGGGAUAGCCCGAAGAAAUUUGGAUUAAUACCUAAUGGUAUAUAGGAGCGGCAUCGUUUUUAUAUUAAAGCUACGGUGGUGAAAGAUGAGUAUGCGUUCUAUUAGCUAGUUGGAGAGGUAACGGCUCCCCAAGGCGACGAUAGAUAGGGGUUCUGAGAGGGAUGUCCCCCACACUGGUACUGAGAUACGGACCAGACUCCUACGGGAGGCAGCAGUGAGGAAUAUUGGACAAUGGUCGGAAGACUGAUCCAGCCAUGCCGCGUGCAGGAUGAAGGUCCUAUGGAUUGUAAACUGCUUUUGUAAGGGAAGAAUAAGGAGUACGUGUACUUUGAUGACGGUACCUUACGAAUAAGCAUCGGCUAACUCCGUGCCAGCAGCCGCGGUAAUGCGGAGGAUGCGAGCGUUAUCCGGAAUCAUUGGGUUUAAAGGGUCCGUAGGCGGGCUGAUAAGUCAGAGGUGAAAGCGCUUAGCUCAACUAAGCAACUGCCUUUGAAACUGUUAGUCUUGAAUGAUUGUGAAGUAGUUGGAAUGUGUAGUGUAGCGGUGAGAUGCUUAGAUAUUACACAGAACACCGAUAGCGAAGGCAUAUUACUAACAAUUUAUUGACGCUGAUGGACGAAAGCGUGGGGAGCGAACAGGAUUAGAUACCCUGGUAGUCCACGCUGUAAACGAUGGAUACUAGCUGUUUGGAGCAAUCUGAGUGGCUAAGCGAAAGUGAUAAGUAUCCCACCUGGGGAGUACGCACGCCAGUGUGAAACUCCAAG